rnacentral:rRNA from 1 species
GUGGGGAAUCUUGCGCAAUGGGCGAAAGCCUGACGCAGCCAUGCCGCGUGAAUGAUGAAGGUCUUAGGAUUGUAAAAUUCUUUCACCGGGGACGAUAAUGACGGUACCCGGAGAAGAAGCUCCGGCUAACUUCGUGCCAGCAGCCGCGGUAAUACGAAGGGGGCUAGCGUUGCUCGGAAUUACUGGGCGUAAAGGGAGCGUAGGCGGACAGCUUAGUCAGAGGUGAAAGCCCAGGGCUCAACCUUGGAAUUGCCUUUGAUACUGGCUGUCUUGAGUUUGGGAGAGGUGAGUGGAACUCCGAGUGUAGAGGUGAAAUUCGUAGAUAUUCGGAAGAAAACCAGUGGCGAAGGCGACUCACUGGCCCAAUACUGACGCUGAGGCGCGAAAGCGUGGGGAGCAAACAGGAUUAGAAACCCCGGUAGUCC